rnacentral:ncRNA from 1 species
AAACACUCAAGCCCUGGCGCCUACGUCUCUGGAUAAGGCGCCCCGGCCGUGACCUUGCGUCACCAGGGUGCAGAAAGAAAUGACUGCAUCUCCCGAUAUUGGAAAGGUGUAUAUGGUU